rnacentral:rRNA from 1 species
UACGUAGGGCGCAAGCGUUGUCCGGAAUUACUGGGCGUAAAGGGCUCGUAGGUGGCCAACUAAGUCAGACGUGAAAUCCCUCGGCUUAACCGGGGAACUGCGUCUGAUACUGGAUGGCUUGAGAUUGGGAGAGGGAUGCGGAAUUCCAGGUGUAGCGGUGAAAUGCGUAGAUAUCUGGAGGAACACCGGUGGCGAAGGCGGCAUCCUGGACCAACACUGAACACUGAGGAGCGAAAGCCAGGGGAGCAAACGGG